rnacentral:misc_RNA from 1 species
GUCGUAACAAGGUUUCCGUAGGUGAACCUGCGGAAGGAUCAUUACCACACCGAUCCAAGAUCUGUUUCACCGCGAACCGCGGUCCCGUGGAAGCUGGUGGCUGUGGGUUGUGGACUGCUGCAUUGCGGUGGUUUGCAUCGCUCACCGCUGGUGGGACUGCCAUUCAAAGUGCCGUCGAGCUGCUUGCACACUGUGCUGGGUGAGCGGCUCGGCGGUGCGCCCCGUCAACUUUAAGACGUUAACCGGUCUUGACCCAACGAACUGAACCAAAAGGGUUCGUAUUAACCACGCACAGCUGUGCGGGUUGGGACAGCCUCUGAAACCUAAGAUUUACAACUUUCAGCGAUGGAUGUCUAGGUUCCCA